rnacentral:rRNA from 1 species
AGCGAACGCUGGCGGCAGGCCUAACACAUGCAAGUCGAACGAAGUCUUCGGACUUAGUGGCGGACGGGUGAGUAACACGUGGGAACGUGCCCUUUGGUACGGAAUAACUCAGGGAAACUUGAGCUAAUACCGUAUGUGCCCUUCGGGGGAAAGAUUUAUCGCCAUUGGAGCGGCCCGCGUUGGAUUAGGUAGUUGGUGGGGUAAAGGCCCACCAAGCCGACGAUCCAUAGCUGGUCUGAGAGGAUGAUCAGCCACACUGGGACUGAGACACGGCCCAGACUCCUACGGGAGGCAGCAGUAGGGAAUCUUGCGCAAUGGGCGAAAGCCUGACGCAGCCAUGCCGCGUGAAUGAUGAAGGUCUUAGGAUUGUAAAAUUCUUUCACCGGGGAAGAUAAUGACUGUAGCCGGAGAAGAAGCCCCGGCUAACUUCGUGCCAGCAGCCGCCGUAAAAC